UGUUUCACAGCAAAGCAGGUGUUUUAACUCGCAGACGAAGGCCAGUCACGUGGUAAAGGUGCAAAUGCUGUGGUCAGCCAGGUUCACCCCUAUCUCAAAACAUACGGUCUUGGCGAACAGCAUGCUCACUUUCAGUGUGACAACUGUUGCGGCCAAAAUAAAAACUACAUAGUCAUCUGGUACCUUCUGUGGAGAGUUCUUGUAGGUUUUAACAAGCCCUUAGUUAUUGUGUUUCUGAUAGCUUUUUUCAGUGUUGAGAAAUGAAUUUAGCUAAACCCGUUAUUAAAAAUAUUUGUUUGCAGUAAUGCAAUUACAAAAUUGUGUUGAUACGUAGUGAAAAUGUUAAAAUUUACUUUUUUACUCUGAUAUCAAUCCCAAAAGGACAAAUCUCUUAAAUAAGAAAUGGGUCAAAACAUUUUUUAAAGUCAGUCAAUUACUACAAACAUACAUAUUCUAAAUUGUAGCCUGACCUUUUUUAAAACUUAUUUUUUAACAUUUCAGGUUUACACAGAAACAUCACACUAAGCUUUAUGUUGGUAGGACAUACGAAGUUUACACCAGAUUGGCACUUUGGCAUCUGGAAGUCUAAGUGGAGCGUCUGUGGGGUAAUCGUCAAGGACGGGCCACAACAUUCCCCAGCUUGUGGGGGACACUUCCAAUCCUGUUUUGUUCUACGAAUGGAAGGAUUAUCUUUCGACAUUGUUUCAACCCAUAAAGAAUGUCACCAAAUUUCACCAAUUCCAUGUGUCAGCGGAUCAUUCGGGUGUUGUGGAAUGCAGGGAAUUUAGUGACUCACCAAUAGUCAGAAUCACUCUCAGGAAGGUCUCGAAAGUGAAUGUUAAUGUGAGCUGUGACGACCUGCCAAAAGAAAUGUUUGCAAAAGGGCUUAAUCUUGACCGUCAGUGGUACCAUUUGAACACAUUCGUGAAUUCUGUCGCACAGAUGAAGGCAAAAACUUAACAUGUCCGAAACCCGCUACUGGUAAGCGACAAAAAACAGACUUUGCCCCCCAAAAACAGAAGAUGCAUUAAGAGACACAUCUGAUUUUCUCUGAUAAUGCCACAACAAUUACAUACAUCAUGUAUCAGCGUUUAUUUUGGCCAAGGUAUUGGGUGAUAUAUUAUCUCCCAAACAGUGCAAAGAAUCCUCUAUUCUGAGGAAAGCUAAUACAUGUACAUGUAUAUGAGUGCUAAAUCUGUCAGUUGAUACAGGUUUUAAAGUGUUCAAUACAAUAGUUUUGUUCUAAUUGCACAAGCUUGUUUUCAAGCUUUUUGAAUCUCAUAUUUACAAAACAAAAAUCAACUUUUCAAUGUUACUUUGCAAUUGUUUUCACCUAAUGGACACAGACUGCCUUUCCGAAAAACUGGGGAAAAAAUCAAAGUGAAUAUUGUAUUUAUUUAUGUUUUACCAUGAAAAUCCUAUAAUUU